GCACUAAAUGGGUUGCUAUUCUUUAUUUAUUUAUUAGUUUAUUAAAGUACUUUUAAGUCCAUCUUAUAGAAAAUUUUAAAUCUUCUAACCGAAAAGAAUUUUUAUUGUAACUCGCCUUAUUUCUUAUUUAUCUGCUGCACUUUGAUUUGUAUUAAAUUUUAAAUAAAAUUUUAAAAUCACCUUUAGGUAAUUUCACGACAACGGUAUACAAGCUGUUUAAAUAAGUAAAGUAUUCUUGGUGGCUAUCAUUUAAAUGGUAAGUUCCCCUAAAUUACUACAUUUAGCCGCCAUAACAUUUAAGUUUAGGCCUAUAGUAAGCAUUAAUUCUUGUUUAAUAUAUUUUUAUUUCCUUAUAAUUGGGUAUCUAAUCCAGGUUUAACUUUAGGAUGUUGACUUAAUAUAGGUAUAGUUAAAUUAUGAAAUUAAUAAUAUUUCACUACAUAUUUAAUUUUUUUUGAACCUUAAAUUUAUUAAACAAUUACUAUAAAUUUAUCUAAUAGGUAUGACCGCGGUUGCUGGCACCUAAUAAACCUAGAUUAUAUAGUUAUCUAAAUUUAAAUUUCUUUAAUAGUUUAAAAUUUUUAACUGAUAAGUGUUUACAUUUCAUAUUAGAAAAGACUAUAAACUUAUAGAUCCAUCAUAUUAAAGUGGUAUCUAAGAGGGUUUAAAACCAUUUUAGG
rnacentral:rRNA from 1 species